UUAUUGUGCGUAUUUAGCUAAGUGCGAGGUCUUACCUGAACAGAAAAAAAUCCAGAACAUUAAUGGAUACAAUGGAAAUUGAUGACACCUUAUUAUAUAUGGACGGCAAUCUCAUUACUCAAGUGAAUUUUCGCAGAAGAAACCAGAUCCUCAGAUGUGUCA